UGAGCAAUCUGCCCUUCUCAUCGGAAUAAGCGUUGGAAACGACGUCUAAUGCCGAAUACGACCUCCUUUCGCAUGAUCGGAGGUAAAGCUCCGGCGGAGAAGGAUGAGCUCGCGGCCUAUCAGCUAGUUGGUGUGGGUAAUGGCCCACCAAGGCGACGACGGGUAGCCGGCCUGAGAGGGUGACCGGCCACACUGGGACUGAGACACGGCCCAGACCUCCGUACGGGAGGNAGCG
rnacentral:rRNA from 1 species